rnacentral:lncRNA from 1 species
GCAUUUCUUGCAAGAAAAGCUUGGUAAUUAAUAAGGGAGAAAGGGAGAAUUGAUGGAUCAAAUAAGGCAUGGCCGGUUGAGCAUAAGGAAAAAAAAAAGAGUAGGCUUAGAUAAUUAGGAGAUAUCUUAUUUCUUCCAUCUCCUAUUAUUCUUCUAGCAAAGAACUUAAGAGAGAGAGAAAGAAAGAGAGAGAGAGAGGAACGACAAUAUGAGAGAGAGAGAAGAGGAGGCUUCGGCAGCUCCAAGAGGAGAAGAAGAGGAGUUUUUGAUCUUCAUACACCAAAGAUCCAUCCAUGAAAGAAGCUAUGAAGAAGAAGAAGAAGGAGAGCAAGUAAUAAAAGGUAUAAACCUUUUUGUUUAGUUAAUUUUUGAUGGUUGUAAAUCAAACCUUGAAUCCAUAGUUCUCAACUCAAAAACUUUAGAUCUAUGUGUUGAUAAGUGUUUAUUGUUUGGAUCUACCCCUAAUGGGUGUUAAAUUGGUGAGAAUCAAAGGAAUAGAAAAAAAUGGAAAUUUUCUAGAAAAGUUAAAGUGUUUUGAUAUGGUGUUUUAGAUCAAGUGUUGAACUUAUGAUUUUGAACCAUAAGUUUAUGAUCUUGAACAUGAGAACUAUAGAUCUACAUGAUAAAUGAUAUUUUAUGGUUAGAUCUUGCCAUUUUUAGGGUUGAUAAGCUUGAACAAAGAAGAAGAACCAAAACAGUUUUUUUGUUUUAAAUGAAUUA